UACGUAGGGGGCAAGCGUUGUCCGGAUUUAUUGGGCGUAAAGAGCGUGUAGGCGCCAGACAGGUCCGUUGUGAAAACUGGAGGCUCAACCUCCAGACGUCGAUGGAAACCGUCUGGCUAGAGUCCGGAAGAGGAGAGUGGAAUUCCUGGUGUAGCGGUGAAAUGCGCAGAUAUCAGGAAGAACACCCGUGGCGAAAGCGGCUCUCUGGGACGGUACUGACGCUGAGACGCGAAAGCGUGGGGAGCGAACAGGG
rnacentral:rRNA from 1 species